GGACAGAUGGCCGAGCGGUUAAGGCGCUAGCUUCAGGUGCUAGUAGAGUAAUCUGCGUGGGUUCGAAUCCCACUCUGUUCA
rfam:Ascochyta rabiei strain ArDII scaffold_98, whole genome shotgun sequence.